CAGUAGCCGCGGUAAUACGAGGGGGGCAAGCGUUGUUCGGAAUUAUUGGGCGUAGAGGGUGCGUAGGCGGUUUCGUAAGUCUUAUGUGAAAUCUAUGGGCUCAACCCAUAGUCUGCACGGGAAACUGUCGGGCUUGAGAAUGGGAGAGGUGAGUGGAAUUUCCGGUGUAGCGGUGAAAUGCGUAGAUAUCGGAAGGAACACCUGUGGCGAAAGCGGCUCACUGGACCAUUUCUGACGCUGAUGCACGAAAGCUAGGGGAGCAAACAGGAUUAGAUACCCCGGUAGUCCCUGUCUCUUAUAA
rnacentral:rRNA from 1 species